CCCCCUAGGCUAUGAGCAAAGAGACACCUUAUUGUUGGUGGUGUUCUUAAAUUAGUCAGGGGCGGAAGAGAUGACAGCUCUUUGUUCAUCCCAGCUUGAUGCCUGGCUUGGUAGCCAUAGCUGCCUUAUGCUUAGAACUCAUAA